CACGGGGGGCCUACGGGAGGCAGCAGUGGGGAAUAUUGCACAAUGGGGGAAACCCUGAUGCAGCCAUGCCGCGUGUGUGAAGAAGGCCUUCGGGUUGUAAAGCACUUUCAGUUGUGAGGAAAGGUUAACGGUUAAUACCCGUUAGCUGUGACGUUAGCAACAGAAGAAGGACCGGCUAACUCCGUGCCAGCAGCCGCGGUAAUACGGAGGGUCCGAGCGUUAAUCGGAAUUACUGGGCGUAAAGCGCACGCAGGCGGUUUGUUAAGCUAGAUGUGAAAGCCCUGGGCUCAACCUGGGAAUUGCAUUUAGAACUGGCAGGCUAGAGUUUUGGAGAGGGGAGUGGAAUUCCAGGUGUAGCGGUGAAAUGCGUAGAUAUCUGGAGGAACAUCAGUGGCGAAGGCGACUCCCUGGUCAGUAACUGACGCUCAUGUGCGAAAGUGUGGGUAGCGAACAGGAUUAGAUACCCUGGUAGUCCACACCGUAAACGCUGUCUACUAGCUGUUUGUGGAUUUAAUCCGUGAGUAGCGAAGCUAACGCGAUAAGUAGA
rnacentral:rRNA from 1 species